rnacentral:lncRNA from 1 species
AAAUAAUAAAAAAUGUUCACCCUUUUGUAUAAAGAUUACAAGCACAAAGACGUAAAUACAUAAAUCAAAUGCAUAUUAUAGAUGUCAUACAAAUAAAGUUAAAUCACAACAUCCUUAUUAAAUUUAACCAUUCUUGACAAUUUACCAGCAUCCAAGCCGGUGUUUACCAGGGCAAGGUCAAGGUUUAAAAUAUGAAUUUGAGCAAGAGCUUUGUUACAACUCCUAGCACCAUCACAAGCAACCGCGACUUCCUGCUCAAAACAGA